GUGAAUUGCAACAUCAUUUUAUAUUACUAUUGAGACUUCUUAAAUGCAUCAGAUCACCCAGAAUGGAGUGGAAGAAAAAAAAUUACUUAAAGCACAACUUUUUAAAACAGUGAGUGACUCAGCAUCUCUAAAUCAUUUUGGUCAGGAUAUGUGGUCUCUGAUGCCCUGUGCCAAUAGGAAAUGGUCUGUGGGCCAGAGAUACAGAAGAUGCCCUGGAAUCACAUGGAUGGACACUUUAGGUGGAACAUACUGUCAGAUGACCUUGCAGCAAGAAGUGGCAAGCCACCUGAUUCUUGAGAAGUGAAGUUGCUCAGUUGU
rnacentral:lncRNA from 1 species